AGCGAACGCUGGCGGCAGGCCUAACACAUGCAAGUCGAACGGACCCUUCGGGGUUAGUGGCGGACGGGUGAGUAACACGUGGGAACGUGCCUUUAGGUUCGGAAUAGCUCCUGGAAACGGGUGGUAAUGCCGAAUGUGCCCUUUGGGGGAAAGAUUUAUCGCCUUUAGAGCGGCCCGCGUCUGAUUAGCUAGUUGGUGAGGUAAAGGCUCACCAAGGCGACGAUCAGUAGCUGGUCUGAGAGGAUGAUCAGCCACAUUGGGACUGAGACACGGCCCAAACUCCUACGGGAGGCAGGAGUGGGGAAUCUUGCGGAAUGGGCGAAAGCCUGACGCAGCCAUGCCGCGUGAAUGAUGAAGGUCUUAGGAUUGUAAAAUUCUUUCACCGGGGACGAUAAUGACGGUACCCGGAGAAGAAGCCCCGGCUAACUUCGUGCCAGCCGCCGCAGUAACAC
rnacentral:rRNA from 1 species